rnacentral:rRNA from 1 species
UACGUAGGGUGCGAGCGUUGUUCGGAAUUACUGGGCGUAAAGGGCUCGUAGGCGGCCAACUAAGUCGGACGUGAAAUCCCUCAGCUUAACUGGGGAACUGCGUCCGAUACUGGAUGGCUUGGAUUUGGGAGAGGGAUGCGGAAUUCCAGGUGUAGCGGUGAAAUGCGUAGAUAUCUGGAGGAACACCGGUGGCGAAGGCGGCAUCCUGGACCAAUAUUGACGCUGAGGAGCGAAAGCUAGGGGAGCAAACGGG